rnacentral:rRNA from 1 species
UGGGGAAUAUUGCACAAUGGGCGAAAGCCUGAUGCAGCAACGCCGCGUGAGUGAUGAAGGCCUUCGGGUUGUAAAGCUCUGUCUUUUGGGACGAUAAUGACGGUACCAAAGGAGGAAGCCACGGCUAACUACGUGCCAGCAGCCGCGGUAAUACGUAGGUGGCAAGCGUUGUCCGGAUUUACUGGGCGUAAAGGAUGCGUAGGCGGAUUUUUAAGUGAGAUGUGAAAACCCUAAGCUUAACUUGGGGACUGCAUUUCAUACUGGAAAUCUAGAGUGCGGGAGAGGAGAAUGGAAUUCCUAGUGUAGCGGUGAAAUGCGUAGAGAUUAGGAAGAACACCAGUGGCGAAGGCGAUUCUCUGGACCGUAACUGACGCUGAGGCAUGAAAGCGUGGGUAGCAAACAGGAUUAGAUACCCUGGUAGUCCACGCCGUAAACGAUGAGUACUAGGUGUAGGAGGUAUCGACCCCUUCUGUGCCGCAGUUAACACAAUAAGUACUCCGCCUGGGAAGUACGAUCGCAAGAUUAAAAACUUAAAUGAAUUGACGGGGGUCAUAGCUGUUUU